UUUUGGACAAUGGACGAAAGUCUGAUCUAGCAAUGCCGCGUGCAGGACGAAGGCCUUCGGGUUGUAAACUGCUUUUGUACGGAACGAAAAAGUCUUUUUUAAUAAAGAGGGCUUAUGACGGUACCGUAAGAAUAAGCACCGGCUAACUACGUGCCAGCAGCCGCGGUAAUACGUAGGGUGCGAGCGUUAAUCGGAAUUACUGGGCGUAAAGCGUCCGCAGGCGGUUCUAUAAGACAGAUGUGAAAUCCCUGGGCUCAACCUAGGAACUGCAUUUGUGACUGUAGAGCUAGAGUACGGCAGAGGGGGAUGGAAUUCCGCGUGUAGCAGUGAAAUGCGUAGAUAUCGGAGGAACACCGAUGGCGAAGGCAAUCCCCUGGGCCUGUACUGACGCUCAUGACGAAA
rnacentral:rRNA from 1 species